ACGGGGGGACUCCUACGGGAGGCAGCAGUGGGGAAUAUUGCACAAUGGGCGAAAGCCUGAUGCAGCGACGCCGCGUGAGGGAUGACGGCCUUCGGGUUGUAAACCUCUUUCAGUAGGGAAGAAGCGAAAGUGACGGUACCUGCAGAAGAAGCGCCGGCUAACUACGUGCCAGCAGCCGCGGUAAU
rnacentral:rRNA from 1 species